CCAGCAAGCCUCGUCGCACAGCCCCAUGAACCAGCACGACCUUCAUUCUGACCCCCUCUGCUCUACAUUACACUGACCCGUCAGAGCAGGGUAAGAGCCUAGCUCCAGCCAAGCUGCAGGUGGGAGGAGACAGCUCUAGGCUCAUAGCAUCUGGCAAACUUAAGAGUCAAGGGAGGAACGAUGAAGAGAGAGACAAACAUGUAAACAGAAGAAAGUGAAAAGAAGCCUUCAUGUGAGGAGGUCAGCCAGUCAUUUGAGUUGAUUGCUUCCUGCUGAAAGCUGCACCUGGAA
rnacentral:lncRNA from 1 species